ensembl:rRNA 5S_rRNA 5S ribosomal RNA
GUCUACGGCCCCACCACCCUGAAAGAGCCUGAUCUCAUCUGAUCUCAGAAGCUAAGCAGAGUGGGGUCUGCUUAGUUCUUAGAUAGGAGACUGCAAAAAACAGGUGUUAUACUUU